rnacentral:misc_RNA from 1 species
GAUGAAGAACGUAGCGAAAUGCGAUAAGUAAUGUGAAUUGCAGAAUUCAGUGAAUCAUCGAAUCUUUGAACGCACCUUGCGCCCUUUGGCCAUUCCGAAGGGCAUGCCUGUUUGAGUAUCAUGAACACCUCAACUCUUUAUGGUUUUCCAUGAUGAUCUUGGACUUUGGGGGUUUUGCUGGCCUAUGGUCGGCUCCUCUAAAAUAAAUCAGCUUACCGGUGUUUGGUGGGUAUCAUGGGUGUGAUAACUAUCUACGCUUGUGGUUUUUCCACCAGGUAACCUUCGACAGCGGAGGUUCACUGGAGCUCAUAGAUGUCUCUCCUCAGCGAGGACAGCCCUUUGAAUGUUUGAUCUCAAAUCAGGUAGGACUACCCGCUGAACUUAAGCAUAUCAAUAAGCGGAGGA